rnacentral:rRNA from 1 species
UAGGGAAUCUUCCGCAAUGGGCGAAAGCUUGACGGAGCAACGCCGCGUGAGUGAUGAAGGUCUUCGGAUCGUAAAACUCUGUUAUUAGGGAAGAACAAAUGUGUAAGUAACUAUGCACGUCUUGACGGUACCUAAUCAGAAAGCCACGGCUAACUACGUGCCAGCAGCCGCGGUAAUACGUAGGUGGCAAGCGUUAUCCGGAAUUAUUGGGCGUAAAGCGCGCGUAGGCGGUUUUUUAAGUCUGAUGUGAAAGCCCACGGCUCAACCGUGGAGGGUCAUUGGAAACUGGAAAACUUGAGUGCAGAAGAGGAAAGUGGAAUUCCAUGUGUAGCGGUGAAAUGCGCAGAGAUAUGGAGGAACACCAGUGGAGAAGGCGACUUUCUGGUCUGUAACUGACGCUGAUGUGCGAAAGCGUGGGGAUCAAACAGG